UUUAGAUUGUGCUAUCCUAGAUACUCCAACAUUAUGAAGGCUUGCCACCACUCCUUUAAUCUCUGCAGUUCUUUGUGAUAACGUAGCGAGGGCAUUCAUAAUAGCUCUAGCUUAGACUCCGAACUUUCUGUCAUACUAAUGUCUUGACCUCCGGCCAUUCUAAAAGAAGGACAAAAAUGACCCUAUAUGAGGCAAUAUUGGUUUAUAGGAGGGUAAUCCACAACCUAUAAAAUGCCUUAAGAAUUUCAAGAAGAGGGGUAAUCCACUCUCUCCAAGAAGAAUAAGACUCCAAUAUUGUAACAGAAGAAGUAUCAGUUUAGAGGAGGGUAAUGCGCAACCUCUAAAAAAUGCUAGUAUACCUUCAAGUAGAGGGAUAAUCUACACUCUACUAAGAAAGAACUAGCUCUGAUAUCUCAAGUUAGUGCAGUCUCGACAAACUGUCACGAACACAAAAUACAGACUUGAAAUCUAACAAGAAGUUGAAGAAGAAGUGACAGAACUAGAUUAAACAGAUGAGUACAAGAACAACACCAGAAAGGUGAACUAGAA
rnacentral:lncRNA from 1 species